rnacentral:rRNA from 1 species
UCAGACGAUGCGUCAUGCAUAUCAAUAAGCGGAGGAAAAGAAACUAACAAGGAUUCCCUUAGUAACGGCGAGUGAAGCGGGAAGGAGCUCAAAUUUGAAAUCUUCAAGGUUUUACCUUGACGAAUUGUAGUUUAAAGAAGUGUUUUCUGUUGAAGUUUUGGUAAAAGUUCUUUGGAAUAGGACAUCAUAGAGGGUGAGAAUCCCGUAUUUGACCAUUAUUUUCAGCUGUGUGAUUACACUUUCAAAGAGUCGGAUUGUUUGGGAAUGCAGUCCAAAAUGGGUGGUAAAUUUCAUCUAAAGCUAAAUAUUGGCGAGAGACCGAUAGCGAACAAGUACCGUGAGGGAAAGAUGAAAAGAACUUUGAAAAGAGAGUUAAACAGUACGUGAAAUUGUCAAAAGGGAAGCGUUUGACACCAGUGUUGUUUUCUCGAAAAUCAAUUAAAAAGAGUUAGAUUUUGUUGUGUAUUGACCUUAACAGCUUGCAUUUCAAUUUUCUUGCUUUUUUUAAUGCACUUUUCGUUUAACAAGUCAACAUCAGUUUCUUUUGUUGUAAAAAGGUCAUUGGAAGGUGGCUUUCUUUUCGGAGAAAGUGUUUAUAGCCUUUGACUCCUGCAAUCGGAGAGACUGAGGUCUGCAGCGUAGAUCCUUCGGGGUUAGAUACAUUUGUGCUAAGUUAUAGCUUUUUAUAGACAACUUGUUGACUAUGAUUAGUCUUGUAGCUUACUCGCUUAUGCUAUUUUACCUACGCUUAGGAUGUUGAGUCGUAGAGCACGCAG